GAGAGCAAGGAUAAUCUCCACUUGAACUCCAUAAACAUCAUCUCCACUCAUCUUAUGCCAUAAACAUACUUCCUUAAAUUCUUUUGAUUUUGUUGGCUGUUUUUUUGUGUUACUAUUGUAUUAUUACAGGCUUUACUAUGAAUCUUUGAUUAAAAGGCCACUGGCUGUAGCGGCCCAAGUUGUCUCCAUGACACACUCCCAGCAUGUCAAAGUAUGUCUUGUAGAAUCCAUGCGGUCCGCCACCCUACUGUCCUGCCUUUUG
rnacentral:lncRNA from 1 species